ensembl:ncRNA lncRNA:CR43907 long non-coding RNA:CR43907
UGCUGUGUAGUUGUGGGCACAAACAAACAAACACGCACACUUGCACACGGUUCUAUCUAUUAAUCAUUUAAUAGUCAUCCAAAUUAUUAGGAAUUCUGCGCUUGUUUAGACAAAACCUUUAACCACAUUUUGAUUGACCCGAUAUUGACUGAGUACUCUAAGUAAGCUAGCUGCUUUACGUUGAAAGUACAGUACAGGCUAUUUUACCACCUGUCCACACACACACACGCUAACACACGUUCAUGAACGAAGAGACCGCAUACUCACACACUCACACCGCUUUUGGCCGUCUUCCUGCGCCGCUUAGCAAAUUGUCAAUUCUUUAUCAAUUCGCCCAGUUCAACCACUUAAACGAAAUGCAAAUCCAAUUCCCAGUGCAGCGGAAAAGGCGGACAGGUGGUAAACUCAACGGAUUAAGACAUUUCACGCUGAUUUCCCAGAAUGCUGGAUUAUUUGUGAUGGCUUAGGGGGAUUUUAAGAAAAUUGUUCUACUUAAAAAU